AACGAACGCUGGCGGCAUGCCUAACACAUGCAAGUCGAACGAUUGCCUUCGGGUGAUAGUGGCGCACGGGUGCGUAACGCGUGGGAAUCUGCCCUUAGGUUCGGAAUAACAGCUGGAAACGGCUGCUAAUACCGGAUGAUAUCUCGAGAUCAAAGAUUUAUCGCCUGAGGAUGAGCCCGCGUUGGAUUAGGUAGUUGGUGGGGUAAAGGCCUACCAAGCCGACGAUCCAUAGCUGGUCUGAGAGGAUGAUCAGCAACACUGGGACUGAGACACGGCCCAGACUCCUACGGGAGGCAGCAGUGGGGAAUAUUGGACAAUGGGCGCAAGCCUGAUCCAGCAAUGCCGCGUGAGUGAUGAAGGCCCUAGGGUUGUAAAGCUCUUUUACCCGGGAAGAUAAUGACUGUACCGGGAGAAUAAGCCCCGGCUAACUCCGUG
rnacentral:rRNA from 1 species